rnacentral:rRNA from 1 species
UGGCGGGAGAGGGUGCGCCAUGCGUCCGGCCCCNGCGGCCGUGCAGCGGGUGCCCCGAGCCGUUCAACCAUUGCAAACCCACUGCGCACUUUUGUCGGCGGAGGGCCCAGUGCCCCGAGCCGGAUCACAAACCCCNAAGUUCAAAGAAUGACAAGCGGACAUCAUGCCGCCCAAACUAUAACGACUUUCAACAACGGAUCUCUUGGCUCUCGCAUCGAUGAAGAACGCAGCGAAAUGCGAUAAGUAAUGUGAAUUGNAGAAUUCAGUGAAUCAUCCAAUCUNUGAACGCACCUUGCGCUCCUUGGUAUUCCUAGGAGCAUGCCUGUUUGAGUGUCUUGAANUCAUNAACCCCUCCCGUUUAUGUGNGGAGAGAAGGUUGGAUCUGGGAGCCUGCUGCCGUCAGGCGGCUCUCCUCAAAUGUGUCGGUUGGGCCUGUGGGAUCGAACUCUGUUGGGCGUUGUACCAUCCUCGCUCUAAGUUCCGAGAUGUUCCCCCUUUA